GACGAACGCUGGCGGCGUGCUUAACACAUGCAAGUCGAACGGAAAGGCCCUGCUUUUGUGGGGUGCUCGAGUGGCGAACGGGGGAGUAACACGUGAGUAACCUGCCCUUGACUUUGGGAUAACUUCAGGAAACUGGGGCUAAUACCGUAUAGGAGCUCCUGCUGCAUGGUGGGGGUUGGAAAGUUUCGGCGGGUGGGGAUGGACGCGCGGCUUAUCAGCUUGUUGGUGGGGUAGUGGCUUACCAAGGCUUUGACGGGUAGCCGGCAGGAGAGGGUGACCGGCCACAUUGGGACUGAGAUACGGCCCAGACUCCUACGGGAGGCAGCAGUGGGGAAUAUUGCACAAUGGGCGGAAGCCUGAUGCAGCAACGCCGCGUGCGGGAUGACGGCCUUCGGGUUGUAAACCGCUUUCGCCUGUGACGAAGCGUGAGUGACGGUAAUGGGUAAAGAAGCACCGGCUAACUACGUG
rnacentral:rRNA from 1 species